AAAAAUUUAUUAAUUACUUAAUUUUAUUUUAUUUAUUUUAUUUUCUCCUUAUUUGGACAUAACUUUGAAUAUCCAUUUAUUAAAUUUCUAGUUAAUAAUUUUGAUUUGUUGGAUUGGUACAACUGGACGAAGCCUUGUCGGUUGACCAGCCAGCGAUUUCCUUUUUCUUCUUGUUCUAAAAUACCUAGCUGUGGCAUCUCAAAAUGUAGCAUGUGAUUUGAAUUAUGAAAUAUCUAAAUUUUUUUACUACAAAAUUUUUCUUUUAAAUUAUGCUAAAGUAGCAUAAAAAGUAAAUCUACAAUGCCUGAUUGAAUUUUAUAUUUGAAUAACCCCAGUUGGGUUUUUUUUUUAUUUUACCAUUAAUUUUGAAUGACCGGACAAAUAUAAUACCAGGAUAAAUACAGGAUGAAGGAGACUACACAUUUUCCAUAAACUCAAGCAAAUUCAACCAAAUAUUUUGGAAUUCCAGUACAGUAUGAAAAUUAAAUUUCAAUUUACAAUUCGAAGUGGGGUAAGCAGAACACUUGUUUUACAAUUCGGCUUCUAAUUCAACCAAGUCCAUCGAAUUUUAUAAGUUUCAAACUUCGUUAAUCGUCGCUUAUCUACGAUUCCACAUCACACUGAAGCUUCAGUUGUAGGCCUACCGGGUUACUAACAUAGAUUUAAUAAUCAAAACUUGUAAACUGAAUAUUUUGUAACUUCAGAAAUGAAAUUGAUUUUUAUGUUGAAAAUAUAAGAUUCAAUCGGA